AAAUUUGGGUAUAGAUGGAAAGUUGGCAAUGGGAAGAGGGUCAGGUUCUGGGAGGACACCUGGUUUGUGUCCUCCCCACUAGCUACCCAAUUCUGGCCGAUCUACUUAGUCUGUAAUGAACAAACUAAGACUAUCAAAGAAGUCUGGGAUGGGGAAACCCUUAAGCUA
rnacentral:rRNA from 1 species